rnacentral:lncRNA from 1 species
UGUCCAGUAUGGUCUAUAUAGAGGUAAUGGCAGAGGAGUUGGUUCCCUCUGAAAUCUGCUCUUGGAGGAACGAUUUUCAACUUCACCAGCUCUACACCCAUACAAAUGCAUUUCUUUCGUUUUUCUACAAAAGGUCAGCUUGCCGGCUCCGCGGACAUGCUGUCCUGCCACCUCCGGUGCGUUCUGGCCGUGCUCUCCAUCGCCCUGGCCCUGGACGGUGUCACUGGCGCCUUCUCUGAGGAUGGACACAGCUGGUUUGUACGCAUGUACAAGGCUUCUUCCGCG